CUCCACUUCAAUUUACGAAUGAAAACACCCUUCACCUUUGCUGCUGUGAAUUUCUUAGAUACACAUGGUCAAGACAAUCUGAGAAUUAUGAGGCUCCAGGACCAAUUAGGGCUGUUUGUGUUGACGUAAAGUCUGGGGGAGUUUUUUUUCUUCCCUUUGCAAGUAUUUAUGAUACUGACAGAUGCAACAGGAAAAAAAAAAAUUCCCGAAUGAGAAUAAGCUUUGUGGGACAACGAGGAUAAGGAUUCAAGGUGAAGAGCAGCCCAGGGCUUUGUUUAAGCCACCAGAUCUAUGCGUGCUGCCACGUGACGUGAAGGUGGGGACACAGCCACUGCCACGGGUGCCAACACCCCCCAGGCGCACUGCAGAGGGGUGGUUGAAGCUGCACAGCAAACCUGCAGGCAAGGUGUUCCUACCAUUUCGCAGGAACCAGCAGAGGGACUGCCAACUCUUUGUCUUGUCAAGAAAGGACAAAUUUUAAAGUACCACUUACAACCACUGGCAUUUUGUACCAAACAAGAGACAUGUUGGCACCAAAAGCAAAGGAAAUCAACAGUCUUGGAAGUUUUUUAAAAUGGGAUCGUCCCCACUUUGUAAGUAUGUUUCUGCAUCUCCCAUGUCCCUUCCUAUUUGCU
rnacentral:lncRNA from 1 species